GACGAACGCUGGCGGCGUGCCUAACACAUGCAAGUCGAGCGAAGUGAGUACUACGGUACGAACUUAGCGGCGGACGGGUGAGUAACGCGUGGACAAUCUACCCUGUAGACUGGGAUAACACCUCGAAAGGGGUGCUAAUACCGGAUAAUGUCGAGAAGCGGCAUCGCUUUUCGAAGAAAGGAGAGAAUCCGCUAUAGGAGGAGUCCGCGUCCCAUUAGCUAGUUGGUGAGGGUAACGGCCCACCAAGGCGACGAUGGGUAGCCGGCCGGAGAGGGUGAACAGCCACACUGGAACUGAGACACGAUCCAGACUCCUACGGGAGGCAGCAGUGGGGAAUAUUGUGCAAUGGGGGAAACCCUGACACAGCAACGCCGCGUGAGCGAAGAAGGCCUUCGGGUUGUAAAGCUCAAUAGUAUGGGAAGAUAAUGACGGUACCGUACGAAAGCCCCGGCUAACUACGUGCCAGCCGCCGCGGUAAAAC
rnacentral:rRNA from 1 species